CACCGCGGUUAUACGAGAGGUCCAAGUUGAUAAUAUCCGGCGUAAAGAGUGGUUAGGGAAAAAUACCAAACUAAAGCCAAACACCUUCAGGGCUGUUAUACGUACUCGAAGGAAAGAGGAUCUAUCACGAAAGUGGCUUUAUUAACCCUGAACCCACGAAAGCUAUGAAA
rnacentral:rRNA from 1 species